rnacentral:rRNA from 1 species
CGCAGCCUACGGGGGGCAGCAGUGGGGAAUAUUGCACAAUGGGCGAAAGCCCGAUGCAGCAACGCCGCGUGAAGGAAGAAGGGUUUCGGCUCGUAAACUUCUAUCAACAGGGACGAAAGAAAUGACGGUACCUGAAUAAGAAGCCCCGGCUAACUACGUGCCAGCAGCCGCGGUAAUACGUAGGGGGCAAGCGUUGUCCGGAUUUACUGGGUGUAAAGGGCGUGUAGCCGGGCUGACAAGUCAGAUGUGAAAUUCCGGGGCUCAACCCCGGACCUGCAUUUGAAACUGUUGGUCUUGAGUAUCGG